GGAGUAAAAGUCGUAACAAGGUCUCCGUUGGUGAACCAGCGGAGGGAUCAUUACCGAGUUAUCAACUCCCAAACCCCUGUGAACAUACCACAACGUUGCCUCGGCGGGACCGCCCCGGCGCCCCUAGCGGCCCGGAACCAGGCGCCCGCCGGAGGACCCAAACUCUUGCUUUGAACAGUGGCAUACUCUCUGAGUCUCAAAAACAAAAAUAAAUUAAAACUUUCAACAACGGAUCUCUUGGCUCUG
rnacentral:misc_RNA from 1 species